CAGGCUGCCAGCGCCCAGUGGGACGCCCGACCCCGCCACUCCCCCUCCAGCUCAAGAGGGGUUGGGGAAGCGAUGUCUACUCCGGCCCCUCUUGUCGAAACGAUGGAGGACGGAGGGUCGGUCAUCAUGGCCGAGGUUGAGACCUCGCUCCAACAGGACCGAUGGGACGGAGUCCCCGAUGUCGUUCAAGAAGAGCUGGGCCAGACAUUGGCCCAGCCGAAGUCGACUCCGGCGCCAGCACUGCAGCCGGAGUCUGGGCUCUGAGGUUCUGCCACCCUGCCUUCUGCCCUAGGGCAGGUUACUUCAAGGUGGACUGAAGAUAUGGAGGCAACCCUUGCGAGUUCCUCCCUAAAAGGAGAGCACCGCGCACUGAUCAGCGCGACACUACAAGGCUUCCGGUCUGCGGAGGCCGGAAUGCGUGAGGUCUUCAAGGGCCUCGUCACAAGCUUCGAGGUAUGCUUCUCUUUUGUAUUGAGGGUAAUUUCCCUGUUCGGAUUUAUUUACAAAUCCGUGUAUCCGCCCUAAGACAUUUUUGCUUACAUUGUGACGCGGUAUUUAGGCAGCAUAGCCAUCGAGUAGCCCCCGAGCCCAUGGCUAGUUUUGAGAAACUGGCCUUGGGGUCGAUAUAGAUAACUAUGAAGGAUGAAGGUGGAGCCCCCAAGACUUUGGCAGGCAUCAUAAAAUGCUUUGUCCGGAUUGUUGAUAUCUGGGACAGGGGUAAUUACAAAUUGUGUGUUUGUAGGUUUUGACCUCAGUGCCGAGCUCCGCCUCCGAAGAGAUUGCAGAGAUGAACUGGAAGCUCCAGAGGUCUGAGGAGGACCUUGAUCUGAUAAGAAAACGGAUCAAGCAGUCGAAAGAUAAAAUCUAGAACAUGGUGAAAUUUACUUUGCGUGAGGAUAGUUUUGUGGAAAACAAAAGCUAAUGCCGAACUGAUUGAAUGACAGAGGCUUUGUUCAAGCUUGAGGGGCUCAAGGCCAAGCUUGUGAAAGCUCGGUAGGAGGCCCAGCAGCAGAGGGCUGCGGCCACCAAGGCAGAGAAGGACCUAGCUGCCGAAAAGGUGGAUAGGGGCAGGGACCAGGCGCAGGUCCUAGAGGUGGAGAACUUGAAGGGAGUCUAUGAAUCACGCGAUGCCCUUCAAGCCAAGGAGGAUAAAGUGAGCGCCGAGCUCAAAAAGCUCCAUCUGGCGCACUCUGAGCUCUAGACCCAGGCCCGGGCCGACCGCGAGGUGCUCCAGCAAGUGGAGCAGAUUCCUGCGGAUGUCCUCGCGGCUCACCCGAAGACCGUGUUGGACGCCGACAAACUACUUCAGCAAGCUGGAGGGCCAUAAGGUAGAGAAGGCAUUCUGGCAACAAUUCUAGGCGUUGCCGCGUCGAGAGCUGCUGAAUCAUCGGAUGAAGCAGCUAGUGGAGCUUCUCCGCAUGGCAAGGCCGUCGCUCCAAGACCUCUGAUUCAACCUGUGGCCAGCCGAGGUGUUGCCAACCAGCCUUUUUGGGGGACGUGGUUUUUUUCUAACGCAUUGCGCGCGUAACUCGUAUCUCAACCGCACAUCAACCGUGGUGUCAAAUCAACUAGGCCCACCACAUUGUCAGCUUUGCAUGGUAUCCCAGCGUCCCACGAUUUUUGGCAGGAGUGUAUAUGGAGAUGUAUUUCAUCAGAUUCGGCAGGUGGUGGGACCAAGUCUAUAGAUUCGGCUGUCCUCGUCCUUCACAUGCAUCUUAUCCCUCCCUGCCAUCUUUUAUGCUUCAGAUCUAACCAUACUACUCCUUACUUUAUCAGCUAAGUAUGGCUUGACAAUAUUGAAUAAUGAAAAAGAGCAACUUUUUUAUAA